UAAUGUACUCUUCCCUUCGGGGCAGGAGAUGACAGGUGGUGCAUGGUUGUCGUCAGCUCGUGUCGUGAGAUGUUGGGUUAAGUCCCGCAACGAGCGCAACCCUUAUCCUCUAGUAGCCAGCAGUAAGAUGGGCACUCUAGUGGAGACUGUCCAGCGGGUGAAACCUGGGAGGAGAGGUGGGGAUGACGUCAAAUCAUCACUGCCCCUUAUNACUUGGGCUACACACGUGUCUACAAAUGGGGUAAACAGAGGGAAGCAAAGCGGCGAGGGUGGGAGCAAAUCCCACAAAAUACGUCCCACUUCGGAGCUGUGAUUCUGCGAACUCCCAGCUACACGAAACUGGGAAUCUCUAUUAAUCUCAGAUCACACAUGCUGCGGUGAAUACAGUUCCCGGGUCUUGUACACACC
rnacentral:rRNA from 1 species